UACGUAGGGGGGCUAGCGUUGUCCGGAAUCAUUGGGCGUAAAGCGCGUGUAGGCGGUCCGGUAAGUCCGCUGUGAAAGUCGGGGGCUCAACCCUCGGAUGCCGGUGGAUACUGUCGGGCUCGAGUACGGAAGAGGCGAGUGGAAUUCCUGGUGUAGCGGUGAAAUGCGCAGAUAUCAGGAGGAACACCUAUUGCGAAGGCAGCUCGCUGGGACGUAACUGACGCUGAGACGCGAAAGCGUGGGGAGCAAACAGG
rnacentral:rRNA from 1 species